UACGGAAGGGGCAAGCGUUGUUCGGAAUCAUUGGGCGUAAAGGGCGUGUAGGUGGUUCUGUAUGUCUACCGUGAAAGCGUACGGCUCAACCGUAUUUAGUCGGUAGAAACUGCAGGACUUGAGGCUGGGAGGGGCUGGUGGAAUUCCCCGUGUAGCGGUGAAAUGCGUAGAGAUGGGGGAGAACACUCGUGGCGAAGGCGGCCAGCUAGACCAGUUCUGACACUAAGGCGCGAUAGCGUGGGGAGCAAACAGG
rnacentral:rRNA from 1 species